GCUUGUCUCAAAGAUUAAGCCAUGCAUGUCUAAGUAUAAACUGCUUUAUACUGUGAAACUGCGAAUGGCUCAUUAAAUCAGUUAUAGUUUAUUUGAUGGUACUUACUUACUCGGAUAACCGUAGUAAUUCUAGAGCUAAUACAUGCUUCAAGGCCCGACCGCAAGGAAAGGCUGCAUUUAUUAGAUACAACCAACCCGCAAGGUUUUUGGUGAAUCAUAAUAACUUAGCGAACCGUAUGCUUCUGCGACGGUGGUUCAUUCAAGUUUCUGCCCUAUCAGCUUUCGAUGUAGGGUAUUGGCCUACCAUGGCGUUAACGGGUAACGGAGAAUUAGGGUUCGAUUCCGGAGAGGGAGCCUGAGAGAUGGCUACCACAUCCAAGGAAGGCAGCAGG
rnacentral:rRNA from 1 species